GGUAAAGACUUGUUUUAGUGAAAAUAUUUUGACCAAGUUUCGUUCGCAGUGUUUUGUUACCCAAUUUACGUCAUUUCGUUUUUACGUGUAACUGCAAAAGGAUCAAGCACAAGUAAAAUCAGUAAAAUCUAAUUUAUGCAUAUAUUAGAUCUGUAGAAUCCACGGACGAGUUGAUGAAAUGAAACUCGUGGAGUUCCAACAGUACUAUUUAAUCUUCUUUCACAAUAGUAACAUGAACACCUCUCACACUAUCCAAUACAAUUAUUAGGCGGUAAGGAUGUAAAAUAGCGCAUGCAUCAGGGAUAGCGUCGACGACAAAGCAGGCAACAUGCGGACGGUGCAGCAAACAUCAUCAGUGUGUCACGAGACGGUGCAAAGCGGCCGUCUGCGCGGAAGUGGACAAUUUUCGACCUCUUGCGCGCAUGCUGUGCUAGGUCCGUUACAUAUCACGACACGACUGCAGAUCUACGGCACGACUCGUCGUACUGCGAGCUGCGCCAGGUUUCGAGGUUUCGCUCCCGUAGGCAUUUCGGGAAAAUAAUAAGAAUAAAAAGUGCUCUAAGUGCUAUUCUAGGUUAUAACUCUAAAAAAAAUCUAUUAAAUAUUCUGGAACAAGACAAAAGGAAGAAAUUUCGAAGCAACCGCGAGAAGCAAAAAAACGCCAAAACCUUCAAAUAAAAAAUGAUCCAGUAUUAAACGAAGAAAUUAAACAAAAAAUAGUGCUACUUAUUUAAAAAAAAAGAAAAAAUAUUAGCAUAGAUUAAUUGAAUCCAAGAGAACAGCGCUUAAAGCGCAAACGAUGGAGAAAAAAUACUAGAAGAUACAGGCAGAAAAUAGCAGAGGAGAAAAAGAAACAACAAGCAGUAAACAUAGUUGUGAUUUAACACAUCGAGCAUACCAAACAAUAUUUCCAAAGACCCAUUAACCUCUGAUACAAGCUUAAAAGUUAAAACUGUUGUUUCGCGAGGAAGAUUAAAGAGAAUUAAAUAUAGGGAAGCAAAGAAGAGGGAGAAAUUAUAAAGAAACUAAAACAGGUAAACAAAGAUUUACGGCAAAGAUUAAUCAGAUAAAGAAAUCGAAUUACUAUAAUAUAAUUAUUAAACGAAGUAUUGAUUAUUACUAUAUUUUGUUUAUUUUGUAUAAAAAUUAACAUUAACAUAAAAUUUUCUAUAAACAUAAAGAGGACACAGAAAAAAUAUCUGUAUAAAGUUGUCCAAAUACAUGUAUAAAGUUGUCAGUAAAGUAGACAAUAUAAUGCAUGCCAAAAGAUUAACAUUAGAUAGAAAUUAGCAUGGAAGAAAAAAAAUGCUUCAAAAUAAAUAUAUUUGUGAGAUCCACCUCAUAUCUUUUUUACCUCACCGUGUGCCAGUUUUACAAGGCCGAAUCUUCUGCUUUGUUUAUUAGAUGGGGGUAGUUCUCAAAAUACGCCACACUCAAAUGUCAAUUUUUAAACCAAAGAUUUUUUGUUUAGUUUAUCCAUAUGGAAAGGCAAAGGAUUUAAUCCUAUACAGCCAUGAUAAAAAAAAUACCCGAGGCAUUGGGCAUACCUAGUACAUAUUGACAUUAUUUUUUAUUCAAAUGGGUGAUAUUCACGAGCGUUUUGAAUGCCGCCUGGGCUAUCAUUAAUGUUUAUUAAUUGUACCAUACACAGUAAGGUACAAUGUUAAUUUUAUAAAUGUUUAAUUUGAAAAAAUGAUUUAAAAUAUGCGACACUAAUGAAACGCUAAACGCCGCGUUCAAACAGUCCUGAAAUUUACCCAAAUAUGAUUAAAGCCUUUUUGCGGAGGGAAGGGUUACACGCAUGCGCACCAUGGUAUGCACACAAAAAACUUGUUUUGGAACGAACUGACAUUUUGGUAUAGAUUGAGAAAGGGUGUGCGUGUGAGCGGUGUGUUUUGGCCAAAUUUUGUCUCCAUCGUUCACCAAAACGAUGAUUUUACCAACGUCAAGGUACAAAAUAGCACAAAUCCAAUGACCAAAAAACAAAUCUGUAACUAUACCACACAUUUUGACACACAUUGAAUUGAAAUCUUAUUGCUUCAAUAAAACAGUUUUAUUUUCUACAGCUAUGUAUAAUUUAUUAAUUUGUUUAUAAAUUAAUAAUUCGAAUAGGUACAGUCCCAUGGGGCGUCGUAGUUAUGAAAAUUAAAUGACAUUAGUCUAUCUUAUAUGUCCGUCAUUUGAAUGUUUCUUAGUAAAUUUAAUUUAAAGGUACCUACGUAAUUUAUGAAAACCUGAUUAGGAUAGUUUAUGUAGCUACAUCAAUUUGUUCUGGCAAUUGGAAAGCAAACACGUAAUCUAAAAUUUCCAGACAUUUAAUUUAUUUUUAAUUAAUAGCUAUAACUAGUUUAAUAAAUAAUUUAUCUGUUAUGCAUAUGACAAAUAAAUCUAGGGAUAUAUAUUUUUAUUUUUACACAUAAACAAACAUAUAAAUCUAUCAAACAGAAGAAUAUUCCGUUACGAAAAGAUUACAAUGAAAUAUGAUUAAACAAUUUAUAUAAUUUUAAUGAAAUGCUUUACGAUCCAACAUAAUUCAUUUAUUGAUAUUAUACUUGUUUUUAAUGUCGAAAAAUAUUUUUUUAAAUGGUUGUGAAAAUGUUACUAAAGCAAUCGACAUAAAUAUCUGGUUGUUAAUAACAAUAGGAAACGUAUCCUAAGUCGUCGACAUAGGAUAAGUUUCCUAUUGUUAAAGCAUUGAAGCCUUUUAUAUUAUAUUAACUUUAAUAUAACUCACUGGUUCUCACUAGGUUCGAUGAUAUACAAUAUCUACAUUAUGUGUCACGCAAGUUUUAUACAUAAAAUUGCGUGUUGCGUGUUGACAGUAAGCUAAACGAGAUUAAAUUUUAUUUAGAUAUGUUACAUCAUAUUUUUUACUUUAUACUAUACACAAGGCCUUCCUGAUAUAAUUUUAUUAAAACGCAAAAAUAAAUAACAAAUACAGCUUAAUCUCGUUGAUGUGUUGUGUCAUACACAAACACUUUAUGCAGUAUGAGAUCUGAAUCUUUGGUAGAAUAAUAAUGUAAUUUUUUCAAUUUUUUUAAAGACGAAAAUACUAUGUUAUUCACAUACUGGGAACAAAUAAAUAUUGGGAGAAACGUAUAAGAUAAAAAUAAUAAUCAAAUGUUUACUACCUAUUAUGUACCAUUUUUUUUUACGUUGACAAUAAUUAAAUAAUAAUUUUGAAAUAUUAAACAGUACAUUCCUUAUUUGAAGACCUUAUUUGAUGAAACAUUGUAUUAGAACUAACAUUAUAUACGACAAGUAUGUUAUUUGUUUGCCUCCUCCUAAUCAAUCGUCAUAAAAUUUUCUAUAAACAUAAAGAGAACACAGAAAAAAUAUCUGCUAUCUAGUUUGUUAAAAAUGAAUGGAAAAUUCAAAAUCGACUGAGUAGCAAAAGCAUCGAAAGUGUAAAAAUUCACUUUGACUUUUCUAAUAUUAAAUUAAAACAAAAGGAACAAAACUUAGCAUUAACACUAAAACAGAGUUAUCUAAAAAUAAUC